rnacentral:rRNA from 1 species
GAUGAACGCUGGCGGCGUGCCUAACACAUGCAAGUCGAGCGAUUCUCUUCGGAGAAGAGCGGCGGACGGGUGAGUAACGCGUGGGUAACCUGCCCUGUACACACGGAUAACAUACCGAAAGGUAUGCUAAUACGAGAUAAUAUGCUUUUAUCGCAUGGUAGAAGUAUCAAAGCUUUUGCGGUACAGGAUGGACCCGCGUCUGAUUAGCUAGUUGGUAAGGUAACGGCUUACCAAGGCGACGAUCAGUAGCCGACCUGAGAGGGUGAUCGGCCACAUUGGAACUGAGGCACGGUCCAAACUCCUACGGGAGGCAGCAGUGGGGAAUAUUGCACAAUGGGCGAAAGCCUGAUGCAGCAACGCCGCGUGAGCGAUGAAGGCCUUCGGGUCGUAAAGCUCUGUCCUCAAGGAAGAUAAUGACGGUACUUGAGGAGGAAGCCCCGGCUAACUACGUGCCAGCAGCCGCCGUAA